rnacentral:rRNA from 1 species
GGUGCGGAGGGGCUUUUCAUUUAGAGGAAGUAAAAGUGUAACAAGGUCUCGUAGGUGACUGSGGAGGGUCAUUACAGAGUUCUCGCCCUUGCGGGUAGAUCUCCCACCCAAUGUUAUCGCUACUAUGUUGCUUUGGCGGGCCGCUAGGCCUAGCCUACCGCUGGCUCCGGCUGGUGUGCGCCCGCCAGAGGCCUGAUAAAUCCUGACUGUAAGUGUCGUCUGAGUACUACAUAAUAGUUAAAACUUUCAACAACGGAUCUCUUGGUUCUGGCAUCGAUGAAGAACGCAGCGAAAUGCGAUAAGUAAUGCGAAUUGCAGAAUUCAGUGAGUCAUCGAAUCUUUGAACGCACAUUGCGCCCUGUGGUAUUCCGCAGGGCAUGCCUGUUCGAGCGUCAUUUCAACCCUCAAGCUCUGCUUGGUGUUGGGCCCUGCCCGCUCCGGCCGGCCCUAAAGACAGUGGCGGUAGCGUCUAGUCCAAGCGUAGUACAACUCUCGCUCUGGGCCGGGCGGUACCUGCCAGAAACCCCCCUUCUAGGUGACCUCGAUCAGGUAGG